AUUGAAUGAAGGCAACUGAAUUAUGCCCAUGGACACUCAUGGAUAUCCCCCAUCACCUCCCCUAUUUCUUUUAAUGAAAGAUUUGUGUUGAUUCUUCAUUGCAAACAAGGUUGUGGGUCAAUUAAGGAGGAGACAAAGUUAUUUUUCCUAACCAGAAAUUGGAAAAUGGAGGUCAAAAAGACAACUUGAAAUGAAACACUAUAGCACCCCAUAAAAGAAAAGACAUAGUUUUAUCACUGAUAUGGUUAGGCUUUGUGUCCCCACCCAAAUCUCAUCUUGAAUUAUAAUCCCCAUAAUCUCCAUAAUACCCAUGUGUCAAGGCAGAGACCAGGUGGAAGUAAUUGGAUCAUGGGGGCAGUUGCCCCCAUGCUGUUCUCAUCAUAGGGAGUGAGUUCUCAUGAGAUCUGAUGGUUUUAUAAGUGUUUGGUAGUUGCUUCUGCGUUCAUUUCUCCUUCCUGCCACUUUGUGAAGUCACCUGCCAUGACUGUUAAGUUUCCUGAGACCUCCCCAGCCAUGCUAAACUGUGAGUCAAUUAAAUCUCUUUCCUUUAUAAAUUACUCAGUCUCAGGCAGUACUUUAUAGCAGUAUGAAAAUGAACUGAUACAUUCAACUAGUUUAUUUUCUUUUUUAUUAACAUUUUUUCAGAUUGCCUAAAUUUAUUUUAUUAUUAUUAUACUUUAAGUUUUAGGGUACAUGUGCAUUAAAUUUUUUAACAUUAAUAAACUUUACAGUAAAAUUGAUUCACAGUAAAACAGUAGAAAGUUCCCAUAUACCCCUGUCCCCACAGACCCACAACCUUCCCCAUUAUCAACAUCCCAUACCAGAGUGGUAUAUUUGUUACAACUGAUAAACCUACAUUGAUGCAUUUUGAUACCCAAACCCCAUAGUUUACAUUAGGGUUCACUAUUGGUGGUUACAUCCUACGUGUUUGGACAAAUGUAUAAUGACAUGGAUCCACCACUAUAGUAUUACAUAGAUUCAUUUCACUGCACUAAAAAUUUGCCUAUACAUUCCUCCCUCUGGAAAACACUGCUCUUUUUACUGUCUCCAUAAUUUUGGCUUUUCCGGAAUGUCAUAUAGUUGGAAUCAUACAGUAUUUAGCCUUUUCGGAUUAGCUUCUUUCACUUUAUAAUAUGCAUUUAAGUUUCAUCCAUGUCGUUUUAUGAUGUGAUAGCUCAUUUCUUAGUGCUGAAUAAUAUUCUUACAUCUGGAUGUACCACAGUUUAUCCACUCAAAUAUUAAAGGAUAUCUUGAUUGCACCCAAGUUUUGGCAAUUAUGUAAAGCUGUUAAACAAUGUGUGCAGGUUUUUAUGUGGAGAUAAGUUUUGUUUGUUUGUUUUUGUUUUUGCUUUUUUUUUUGAGAUGGAGUUUUGCUCUGUCACUCAGGCUGGAGUGCAAUGGCAUGAUCUCAGCUCACUGCAACCUCCGCCUCCUGGGCUCAAGUGAUUCUCCUGCCUCAGCCUCCCUAGUAGCUGAGAUUACAGGCGCACACUGCCACACCCAGCUACUUUUUUGUAUCUUUAGUAGAGCUGGGGUUUCACCAUGGGAUUUCACCAGGCUGGUCUUGAACUCCUGACCUCAAAUGAUCCACCUGCCUGGGCCUCCCAAAGUGCUGCAAUUACAGGCGUGAGCUACUGUGCCCGGCCAGGACAUAAGUUUUCAAGUCCAUACCAAGGAGCGCUAUUGCUGAAUCAUAUGGGAAGAGUAUGUUUAUUUUGUAAGAAACUGCCAAACUGUCUUCCAAAGUGACUAUGCCAUUUUGAAUUCUUACCAGCAAUGAAUGAAGGUUCCUGUUGCUCCACAUUCUCACCAGCACUUGGUUUCAUCAGUGUUCUGACUUCAGCCAUUCUAACAGGUUUGAACUGCAUGGACUGCUUAUAUGUGAAUUUUCUUCCACUUCUGCCACCCCUGGAACAGCAAGACCAACCCAUCCUUUUCCUCCUCUUCUUCAGCAUACUCAAGGUGAAGACAACAAAGGAUGAAGAUCUUUAUGAUGAUCUACUUCCAUUUAAUAAAUAGUAAAUAUAUUUUCUUUACCUUACGAUUUUCUUAAUAACAGUUUCUUUUCUCUAGCUUAGUUUAUUGUAAGAAUAUAGUACACAAUACAUAUCAUAGAAAAUAUGUGUUAGUCAACUGUGUGUGUUAUCAGCAGGGCCUCCAGACAACAGCAGGCUAUUAGUAGUUAAGUUUUUGGGGAGUCAAAAAUUACAUGUGGAUUUUUGACAGUGCAGGGGGUUGGUGCUCUUAACCUCCAUGUUAUUCAAGGGUCAACUGUAUUUAUUUAAGGUCUGUGAUGCAUUGCAAAUAGACACACACACACGCAUCCCUACUUUGCUGAGCUCAAAGUUCAGUGAAAUUUCACAGAAUGUUAUCUUGCCCAGGUCCUUCAUUUUAUAGAUGAAGAAACAGUAGGCUUUCUCCCCAGUACCACAUGAAAAACCAAGGAUAUAAUCUAAAGACAACCUUGACUUUUUGCUAUACCAAAUAUAUACCAAUUCUAUCUUACCUGUCUGAGAAAUGCAUGCUAUGGACAUAUGAAGGUGAUGAUAAAUCUUGGAAGAUUAGGAAAUAGGCUUCCAAAGCAGAUAAAGGCAGGCAUAUGAAAAUGAAUAAUGCAAUCUGGAAGAAAGAGAAUAGUCUGUUUCUGUAGGUUUACCCACAGCUAUUUUAAAUUUGUUGCUUCACCUUCUUCACCAUCCCAGGUACUAUAUUGUACAUUCCACUGUAAAUGAGCAAACAUUACACUGGCAGCAGGGACCAGCAUCCUUUAUCAAGAGGCAGUUGUAGCUCAAGAGUUGCAUCUUGGUAGCAUCAAUACAGAAUUUAAGGAUUACAGAAGAUAUCUCAGUAAGUUACACUACUGGUUUGAAGAAAACUGUUUUGACCUCUAAUUUUUUCUCUUAUUCUAAUCUUCCUGUCAUUUUUUAAAGAACAAAAGAUGGCCUGUGUUAUCUUAUUUGGUUAUAUGAUUACAUAUUAUUAUGAUCAAUAACAUAUAUUAAAACUUAUUAAUCAAUGCUUCUUUAAUUUCAGAAAGUUCUCUAUACUUGGAAGAAAAAUAAAGAACGAUUUGCACUUCAUUUCCUUAGCAUGGAGUAGAGCAUUAAUCAUUAUCAUUUUUUCAUGCCACUAAAUCUUUGCAAUGAUAAUUCUUUAAUAGUAUUGGUCUACAUCCACUAGAUAAACAUUAUAGGCUUAUAAUGUGCCAGGCACUGUGCUAGACACUGGAGAUAACACUUUGAAUAAAACAGAAAUGGAACUCCCAUCAUGGAGCUCAGAAAUAACACUGAAAUGCUCCUGGAUUUUGAGCCAGCAAUAACAGCAGGAAGAAAACUGCACUCAAAACACUAUGAAUUUAUUUCCGCCAUUUAAAAAAAAAGAAUGAAGAAGGUAUUUCAAAUCCAGAAAAGAUAUUUUCUCAUCAUGAUAGCAGAUGUUAAAGAUAUUGGAAACAGUGCAAUUUCUCCUAGUGUAGAAGGAGGAGGAAGUUGGUAGACACACAGCUGAAAUAAAGGAAGCAGAAGGAAGAACACAGGCAGUGCUCAUCUUGCAGGAGGCUUGAGCACCCUAAGUCUAUUUAUAAAUCAGUUGUUCAAAACUAACAAGUAGUGUCGCACAUCAUGUUUAUAUUUUGAGGUAGCCGCAACAGCCUUUUAAAUGCACAAUGUAAUUGAAACACUAGCAUCGGAAAAGAGUACAGUUGCCAAUAUAAAUGGUAUUUUAGUGACCAAUGUUUCCUCGGCUCCAGAAGCUCCUGGAAGAUUGUCUCAGCUAUUCCUCAUGGAUCCAAAAGCCUAAUUUCACCUAUAAAUAAUCAAUGGAUAUUUUAUCUAUCUUCAAUUUCCAAUGAGGAUAAAUCAGCAGAGAAAAGACAACACUGGCAGCCUUAAAGAGAAAAGCAGUAAAAAUAAGAUUAUUUCAUUGCCAUUUUUUUAAAGAGAUGGGUUCUCACUGUGUUGACCAGGCUACAAUGCAGCAGCUAUUCACAGGCACAAUCAUAGUGCACUACAACCCCAAACUUUUGAGACUCAGGCAAUCUUCCUGCCUCAGCCUUCAGAGUAGCUGGGACUAUAGUCAUUGCCAUUUUAGAAACCAUUUUCAUUCACUGCAACUUUCACCAAAUAUUUAUUGAGUGCUCACCAUGUGCUAGCCACUGUUUGGUAUGCUGACAAUACAUGUCAGUGACCCAAACAAUGUUCCUCAUCUCAUAGAACUCACAUCUACUGGAGAAAGCAGACAAUAAAAAUUGUUUAAGAAAAGCAGAAACACUUUGCCAAGGGUUGAUAAACUAUGCAAUUCCCAUCAAAAUACCACCAUCAUUCUUCACAGAAUUAGGAAAAACAAUUUUAAAAUUCAUAUGAAAACAAAAAAGAACCCACAGAGCCAAAGCAAAACUAAGCACAAAGAACAAAUUGGGCAGAAUCACAUUACCUGACUUUAUACUAGAAGGCCAUAGACACCAAAACAGCAUGGUACUGGUAUAAAAAUAGGUACAGAGACCAAUGGGGGGAUAGAGAACCAAGAAAGAAACCCACAUACUUACAGCCAACUGACCUUUGACAAAGCAAACAAAAACAUAAAUUAGUAGGUAAAGGACACCCUAUUCAACAAAUGGUGCUGGGAUAGCUGGUAAGCCACAUAUAGAAGAAUGAAACUAGAUCCUCAUCUCUCACCUUAUAUAAAAAUCAACUCAAGAUGGAUCAAAAACUUAAAUCUACGUGCUGAAACUAUAAAAAUUCUAGAAGAUAACAUCAGAAAAACCCUUCUAGACAUUGGCUUAGGUAAAGACUUCAUGACCAAGAACCCAAAAGCAAAUGCAACAAAAACAAAGAUAAAUAGGUGAGACUUAAUUAAACAAAAGAGCCUCUGCACAGCAAUAGGAACAGUCAGCAGCGUAAACAGACAACCCACAGAGUGGGAGAAAAUCUUCACAAUCUAUGCAUCCGGCAAAGGACUAAUAUCUAGAAUCUACAAGGAACUCCAACAAAUUAGCAAGGAAAAAAACAAACAAUCCUAUCAAAAAGUGGGCUAAGGACAUGAAUAGACAAUUUUAAAAAGAAGAUAUACAAAUGACCAACAAACAUAUGAGAAAAUGUUCAAUAUCACUAAUGAUCAGGGAAAUGCAAAUCAAAACCACAAUGCAAUACUUUACUCCUGCAAGAACGGCAAUAAAAAAUCAAAAAAUAGUAGACGUUGGCAUGGAUAUGGUGAACAGAGAACACUUCUACACUGCUGGUGGGAAUGUAAACUAGUACAGCCACUAUGGAAAACAGUGUGGAGAUUCCUUAAAUAACUAAAAGUACAACUACCAUUUGAUCCAGCAAUCCCACUACUGGGUAUCUACCCAGAGGAAAAAAGUCAUUAUAUGAAAAAGAUACUUGCACACACAUUUAUAGCAGCACAAUUUGCAAUUGCAAAAAUGUGGAACCAACCCAAAUGCUCGUCAAUCGGUGAGUAGUUAAAGAAACUGUGGUAUAUUUAUAAGAUGGAAUACUACUCAGCCAUAAAAAGGAAUGAAUUAAUGGCAUUUGCAGUGACCUGGAUAAGACUGGAGACUAUUAUUCUAAGUGAAGUAACUCAGGGAUGGAAAACCAAACAUCAUAUGUUCUCACUCAUAAGUGGGAGCUACGCUAUGAGGAUGCAAAGGCAUAAGAAUGACACAAUGGACUCUAGGGACUCAGGGGAAAAGGGUGGGAAGGGGGUGAGGAAUAAAAGACUACGAAUAGGGUGAAGUGUAUACUGCUCGGGUGAUAGGUGCACCAAGAUCUCACAAAUCACCACUAAAGAACUUACCCAUGUAACCAAAUACCACCUGUUCCCCAAUAACCUAUGGGAAUAAAAAAAUAAAAUUUUAAAAAAAAAGAGAGAAAAUAAAGCAAGGUCAAUAGUCAGAGUUCUGUUAGAUAGAAUGGUUAGGGAAUUUAUCUCUGAAAAAGUAACACUCAAGGAGAGAUUAGAAGGAAAGAUAGAAACAAUACCUGUGGCUCUCUGAAGGAAGGGUGCUCCAGGAAGAGGGAACAGCAAGUGCAAAGGCCUGGAGGAAAAAGGAUGCUCUUCUUGUUGCCAGGACAGCAAGAAAACCAAGGAAAUUAGAAUAGAAUGAGGGAGAAUAGUGGCAAGAAAUGGAAUCAGAAACACAAAUAGCAGCCAAUUCACUUGAGGACUGGUGGGUCAUGAAAAGGGCUUUGGCUUAUAUUCUGAGUGAAACAGAGACCCAUUAAUGGUUUUAAGCAGAGG
rnacentral:lncRNA from 10 species